rnacentral:rRNA from 1 species
AGAAUCAACGCUGGCGGCGUGCCUAACACAUGCAAGUCGAACGAGAAAGGGGAGCAAUCCCUGAGUAAAGUGGCGACCGGGUGAGUAACACGUGACUAACCUACCCUCGAGUGUGGAAUAACAUCGGGAAAACCGAUGCUAAUACCGCAUAACAUCGGCGCUUUUAAGAGAUGCCGAUCGAAGGAGCAAUCCGCUUGAGGAGGGGGUCGCGGCUGAUUAGCUAGUUGGCGGGGUAACGGCCCACCAAGGCGAAGAUCGGUA